GACAGAGGUGCCGAGCGUUAGGCGGAAUCACUGGGCUUAAAGCGUGUGUAGGCGGAUCCGUAAGUACCUUGUGAAAUCCCACGGCUCAACCGUGGAACUGCUUGGUAUACUGCGGGUCUUGAGCCAUCUAGGGGCUACCGGAACAAACGGUGGAGCGGUGAAAUGCGUAGAUAUCAGGAGGAACGCCGGUGGCGAAGGCAGUUCUCUGGGCAUUACCUGACGCUGAGGAGCGAAAGUGUGGGGAGCGAACAGG
rnacentral:rRNA from 1 species